rnacentral:lncRNA from 1 species
AUCGAUGUGGGAAACCAUGUCAUAUUAAGGCGAAUUGUCGAGUCAAAAUGCAAGAGAAAGCAGAAAAAGUUGUACUUGACAACAAUGAGUUUCAACAAUCAAAUUGGGAGUAAUGUUUAUCUAUUGAAGUAUUUGAUCAGCCAACAAAUGUGACUUCUCUUGUGCACCAAGAUGAUGCAUCAGCUGAUGCUCAUGCUUUUAUCAACUAUGACGAAGAGUGGAUUGUUGAUUCUGGUUACUCUCAUCAUGCUACCGGGAAUGAUACUAUUUUAUCGGAUGUUCGUCCAUAUCACAUGAAAAAGGU